rnacentral:lncRNA from 1 species
GACAACAUAAAGGAAAGAUUUGGAAUCCAAAGAGGCAAACAACCGUUCAUACUUGAUGUAGGACAACCACUAUCACAUCGUGUAUGAAUGUAGGAAAAGGAAGCACCGGGAAAUGAGGAGGAACAGCUCGAGCAGAAAACGGAACAGUGAAAUCAAAAUGCCCUAUGGAAGUAUGCACCUCCUCCCCAUAGGUGCCUUGAGCACAAGCUCAGCCCUUCUUUGUACCUUUCUGUACUGCGCUGAGAGUGCGCUAUUGCCGAUGUUAGAAAACAUGCACAUCACUGGCUAGUCGCCUCCUUUGGACGCCGCACGACACAAGCCCACCUUUUUUUUGAAACAGAGGCAAAAGAUUUACCUCAUUGAUUAAUUAAGAAGAAGAGAAUUGUCUAGUUAAUUAACAUAAAAUCAGG